ACGGGAGGCAGCAGUGGGGAAUAUUGGGCAAUGGGCGAAAGCCUGACCCAGCGACGCCGCGUGAGGGAAGAAGGUCUUCGGAUUGUAAACCUCUUUUAUCAGGGACGAAAUUUGACGGUACCUGUUGAAUAAGCCACGGCUAACUACGUGCCAGCAGCCGCGGUAAUACGUAGGUGGCGAGCGUUAUCCGGAUUUACUGGGUGUAAAGGGUGUGUAGGCGGGAUGGCAAUUCAGAUGUGAAAACUAUGGGCUCAACUCAUAGCCUGCAUUUGGAACUGUCGUUCUUGAGGGUCGGAGUGGUUACUGGAAUUCCCGAUGUAGCGGUGAAAUGCGUAGAUAUCGGGAGGAACACCAGUGGCGAAGGCGAGUAACUGGACGACAACUGACGCUGAGACACGAAAGCGUAGGGAGCAAACAG
rnacentral:rRNA from 1 species